rnacentral:rRNA from 1 species
GACGAACGCUGGCGGCGUGCCUAACACAUGCAAGUCGAGCGACGCCCCUCCUUCGGGGAGCUGACGGGGCGGCCAACGGGCGAGUAACAGGGGGGCAACCCGCCCCCAACUCUUUGACAACACCGGAAAAACGGUGCUAAAACCUGAUACGACAUCGGACGGCAUCGCGCGAGGAGGAGAGUUUUUGAGGCUCGGGGUGGGCCGGCGGCCUAUCAGCUUGUGGGUGUGGGAGUGGCCCACCAAGGCGACGACGGGGAGCCGGACUGAGAGGGCGAGCGGCCACCCUGGGACUGAGACACGGCCCAGACUCCUACGGGAGGCAGCAGUGGGGUAUAUUGCGCAAUGGGCGAAAGCCUGACGCAGCGACGCCGCGUGAGGGAUGACGGCCUUCGGGUUGUAAACCUCUUUCAGCAGGGACGAAUUCAGACGGUACCUGCAGAAGAAGCACCGGCCAACUACGUG